rnacentral:rRNA from 1 species
UGGGGAAUCUUGCGCAAUGGGCGAAAGCCUGACGCAGCAACGCCGCGUGUGUGAUGAAGGUCUUCGGAUCGUAAAGCACUGUCGCGAGGGAAGAUACGCCACGCGCUAACAUCGCGGGGCUAAGACGGUACCUCGAGAGGAAGCACCGGCUAACUCUGUGCCAGCAGCCGCGGUAAUACAGAGGGUGCGAGCGUUGUUCGGAAUUACUGGGCGUAAAGCGCACGUAGGCGGGUCGUUAAGUCAGGGGUGAAAUCCCGGAGCUCAACUCCGGAACUGCCUUUGAUACUGGCGGCCUCGAGGCCGGAAGAGGUUAGUGGAAUUCCCAGUGUAGAGGUGAAAUUCGUAGAUAUUGGGAAGAACACCAGUGGCGAAGGCGGCUAACUGGUCCGGAUCUGACGCUGAGGUGCGAAAGCGUGGGGAGCAAACAG